AGUUUGAUCAUGGCUCAGAACGAACGCUUGCUGCAUGCUUUAUACAUGCAAGUCGAACGAAGGCCCUAGCUUGCUAGGUGUCCUUAGUGGCGCACGGGUGAGUAACACGUGGGAACAUACCUCAUAGUACGGAAUAACUGCGGGAAACUGUAGCUAAUACCGUAUAUUCCAGAAAUGGGAAAGAUUUAUCGCUAUGAGAUUGGCCCGCGCAAGAUUAGCUUGUUGGUAAGGUAAUGGCUUACCAAGGCUCCGAUCUUUANCUGGUUUGAGAGGAUGAUCANCCACACUGGGACUGAGACACGGCCCANACUCCUACGGGAGGCAGCAGUAGGGAAUAUUGGACAAUGGGGGAAACCCUGAUCCAGCAAUGCAGCGUGAGUGACGAAGGCCUUAGGGUUGUAAAACUCUUUCAUCGGUGAGGAUAAUGACAGUAGCCGAAGAAGAAGGACCGGCUAAUUCCGUGCCAGCAGCCGCGGUAAUACGGAAGGUCCUAGCGUUGUUCGGAAUUACUGGGCGUAAAGCGCAUGUAGGCGGAACAAAAAGUUAGAAGUGAAAUCCCUGGGCUCAACCUAGGAAUGGCUUUUAAAACUUUUGUUCUGGAAUUCAGGAGAGGAAAAUGGAAUUUCCAGUGUAGAGGUGAAAUUCGUAGAUAUUGGAA
rnacentral:rRNA from 1 species